rfam:Hordeum vulgare subsp. vulgare, WGS project CAJW01000000 data, contig: morex_contig_157136
AUCUUAGAUGAAGAAGAAGUGGUCUCCCACAUCCUCGCUGAACUCAACGAGGAGUUCGAUCUGAUGGUCUCUGCUAUGUGCUCCGAGGUUGAGCCCGUCAAGGUUUCAGAGCUGUACUCACAGCUCCUGAGCUUUGAGA